rnacentral:lncRNA from 1 species
UUCCAAUUAACCAACAAAAUUAGAUAAAACAUAAACCAAACAUAGUUUUAACACAUCUUAAACAUCAAGACAUCAAAUUAAUCAAACAAAAAUAGAAAAAAAAAAGAUCAAUAAAGCUCUCACCUAUUGUCCUAAAGCUCUUACCUAUCCACUUUUUUCACCUCAUGACCUAAUCCAAGCUUUGUGUGAUUUGAAUUACUGCAUGGGUUUGGCAACAAAUUGUUCAAACAAUAACAUAAAUUGAAAGACAAAGAGCUUCAUAUAUAUUAUAGUAUAUGCAAUUUUUUUAUCAAUUCAACAAUCAAUGCAAGAAAACACUACUAAUGAAAGAUAACCGCUAAUAGACUAUAGAAAAACACAAGCUUGGAGAAAAAAUAAAAAAUGGGAGAAAUUAUUGAAUACCUUGAUGGCGAAUGAGCAUGGUUUCCUUAGAGAACUGGUUGAAUUUUGUUUGCUUGGCUGGUGUUUUCUAUGCUAUGAUGACAACAACGUACAGUUUCAAAAUGAAGAGACAAUAAUUUAAUUAGGAAAUUUCAAAUCGAAGUGAGAGAGAUAAAAGUAUUAGGGGUCAAAGAAAAACUGAAAUGGUUGAUGGCUUACAAGGAAAAAGACUAAUAGCUGAACAAGAAGAAUAAAACAAGUAUGACGACAUCGGUAAUAUGUGAAUGGUGGAAGAACACCAAGAAUUAGGGUUCCAGAUAGAGGGCUUGUGAAGGAAGAAGAGAAACAAUUUGCA